ACAGCAAUGGCGGAUCGUGGAGCCUCUCAAUAGUUCCCGGAAGUUAGCAGCAGAAUUCUAGCUACACACCGUUUGUGAUGCACUUUUAAAGGUGGGGAAACCGUACAUUCGUACUCCUUUCUCCGAGCAAUUGGAGCAUCCCCAUGCAGCACAGCAACCACGGUGGAGACUAUUAUGCAAGGACAACACGGAGGAAAGGGCACAGACAAACUGCAGUGUUUCCCACACUUUAUUUGGGCGGGCCGCCCAAGGUAUAUCAACGGCCGUCAAAAUAUAUCUGGCGACCAUUUUUAGCAUUUUUUUUUUAAUUUUUAUUUUUUAUCCGUCCGAGUGAACGACGCCAUCCGCGAUCGAUUAUUUUCUAGCGCUCUGCGCUGACCUUUCCGAGUGUAAACAAUGAUUUUACAGUGUGACGUACUGGAACAUGAACGGCGCGAAACAUAAACAUUGAAUUUUGACUUUAGUCUGCCACAGACUAAUGUCUGACCACCCCUAUGGUCACCCCACACAGCACCGCUUUUCAGGCAGAACUUUUUUUGCAGAACCAUGUCUAUAAGGCCGUAGUUCCCAUACGGACGCAUUUUAACAGCGCAACCACCCCCCGUUUAACCGCAUGCAACCGAGUAGUUCUCGGAGCCCUUCUAGCCAGACUCAACUCGCUAUUUGCAGCCUGAGGAGAGAGGUCUCCGUAGUAUAAUCGCAGGCAAAAUGAAGAGAGAGAUAACUUCCUAGUUUGGUCAGUAAGAAGCCAAGUAAGAAGAUCAGUAAGAAGCCAAGUAAUGAGAGAAGGGAGAGUGGUGCAGAGAGGGAGAUGCAGAGCAACCAGUGAACACUCUAGGAAGUGGACUUACAGAUGAUAGACUUACCCAUUCGGACGUUGACAGUGAUGGCAGAGCACCGUCCCCAGAGUGCGCUAACCAAAGUGGAUGUCAAGAUGAAAGACUUCAUGUGUGUCAAGGGCAUAACAACACAGUUGGGCCUUCAGUGAAAUUUCCCUGACCAGAGUGGGCCACCAGACAUCUCCAGUUCUCGAGCCGAAGCACCAGUCCAGCCACAUCUUACAGUAUUUCCAGUCAUGGGGGACAGGCGAAGAAGCUUUAAGGCCUUGUGGUAUUCCCAUCACAAGUGGAUUGAAUACUCUCAGUGCAGGGACGCUGUUUAUUUUUAUGCCUGCAGGUACUUUGGCCUUCCAAACACUAAAUCAGUUUUCAUUUCAGAUAUAGGCUAUAAAAACUGGAAAAAGACUAUGUUCAAAGAUGGAGGCUUUGCUUCCCAUGCCAAGUCUGAAGCAUACAUCAAUGCUACAUUAAGCAUGGAAAAGAAAGAAGAAAAAACAAGACAUCUUUGAUAAAUUAACUGUCACAAGAGCAUACAAAACAGGAAAACCGUGAUUAUAUUAAAAGUGUACCUGAAGUUUUACUGUUAACUGCUACACAAAACAUGGCACAAAGGGGUCAUAGGAAGACAAUGGAUUUGGACAACGGGAAAUUUCCUUGCUAUAUUAUAGGUUCUUGGUAUUCAAGGAAAGUCAAGUUUUUGCCCUUAUGGCAGAUGAAACCAAAGAUGUAAAAAAGAAAGAACAAAUUUCUCUUGUUCUCAGGUAUUAUUUCGGGGGAGCUAUAAAAGAGAGCUUCUUGCACUUUGAAGCUGCAGAGCAUCUUAAUGCUGCAGGGUUGGCGGACAAAAUGAUACAUAUUCUUGAGAGAUACGGACUGGAAUAUAGACAAUUUGGUUGGACAAGCCUAUGACAGAGCAUCUGUAAUGAGCGGCAAGAACUCUGGCAUUCAGGCUCGUUUUAAGGAGGUGGCAAAGCAGGCCUUUUAUGUCCUCUGUAAUGCUCAUUGCCUUAAUCUAGUUCUUGUUGACACUGUCAAAGCAGUCCCAGAAGUCGAAUGCUUCUUUUCUCUUGUGCAAAAACUACACGUUUAUGGCUGGGUCUUAUGUUCAUACAAAGUGGCUCAGCAAGCAAAAGGAAAUGUAUGAUGGGGCACCAAGAGAACUGCAAAAGCUAAGUGACACAAGAUGGCCCUGUCAACACAAGGUUUGUCAUACUAUUCUUGAUAGAUUGCCUGCUGUUACCUGUGUCCUUCAAAGAAAUAGAUGAAGAAAAGAGUGGUAGUAGGUCAGUUGAAGCACGAGGGCUGCUAGCUCAAAUGGACUUGCAGUUCAUAGGACUUCUGGUCACUCUGUCUGGAGUUUUUGGUAAGGCAAGUUUCCUUUCUGAUCCUCUCCAGUCUCCAAACCUUGAUUUAGGUUUAGCUGUGGAUUUAGUUGAAGCUGUUGUACAGACUCUUAAAGACUGUAGGGAUGAAACCUACAUUGAAGAGCUCUGAAAACAAGUGGUACAUACUGCUGAACAAUGCAAUAUUGACUCAGAACCUGCACCCAAAAUAAAAUAAAUGCAAAACAGAAGGCUGGAUGGACAUAGUGUGAUGUCUCAACUAGGUGGGUGUCCUGAGCAGAACAAGGACACUUUUCAUACAGGGGUAUUUUACCCUGUCCUUUAUAAUAUGCUCACUGAGAUCAACAGAUGGUUCUCUAAACCAAGCUGUGAAGUAAUGAAGGGUAUUCAAGCCUUAAAUCCCACAAAUGGUACACUUUGUCAUGAGGAAGCUCUGUUUUCCUUUGUAUCUAUUUAUGAAUGCAACAUUGAAGACCUCAGAUAUGACUUACACCAGUUGAAAAGAAUCCUAGUUAAGAAAAUCCAAGCAGGCAUAGAGAAACCCUCUAGCAUAGUUGACCUCACAAAAUUCAUUGAGCUGUAUCAUGAGGUGUUUCAUGAACUCUUUGGAUUGUGUAAAAUAGUGGUCACCAUACCUGUGAGUACAGCUGCAUAUGAAAGGAGCUUUUCGGUACUCAAUCUCAUUAAAACUUACUUGAGAUCAACCAUGGACGAUGACCGAUUGAGCAACCUGGGUGUUUUGAGUGUGGAAUUUGUUUGACAUAAGUGUCUUACGUGUAAUUAUCUUAUGUAAUUUAAAUUGUAAUGGCCUUAUGAGCUUUAUCACCGAUUAAAAAAGCAUA